GACUGGUCUUCCCACCUCAGACGUCCUUACUCAGUCCAUCAUCUCUUUCAGGAUUUUCUUCUGUGGUCUUUUUCAAACUACUAGCUGACUUUUCCCUUUUAUUUCCCACUAGGAACCCCUCCCCGCCCCCCCCCCCCCCCCAGCCAUUUCAUCAAAUCAAACUCACUGCCCUCUUUCAUGCCCCUUCCUUAGUUCCCCAACACAAGCCUGUGCAUAAGCUUGAACAUUUCUACCUUUGCCAAUGGUAUUUCCCCUUCUGGCUUACCCUGCUUCCUCCUUCUCAGACUUUUCCAGUCUUGAUUGUCCUCUCCAUAAACACAAGAAUGAACUUCAAGGCAAGUUACUUAAUGUCUUAGAGCCUGUUUCCCCAUCCAUAAAAUGGGGCUAUAAAUUCCUCAGGAUGGGAUGAGGGUACAAAUAAAAAAUGAAGCAGGAUAUUCUUUGUAAA
ensembl:lncRNA novel transcript